rnacentral:misc_RNA from 1 species
GCAAACUUGGUCAUUUAGAGGAAGUAAAAGUCGUAACAAGGUAACCGUAGGUGAACCUGCGGUUGGAUCAUUAAUAAUUCAAAUUAUUAAUUGCUGACACGUGCGGCGCUCUGCGUAAGCAGACACCCGCGUGAAGGCAAAACCCAACUUGUGAACUGAAAUUGUCUCUGGUGGGCUUAACGAGAAAACGAGAGGGGACUAAUCCUCUCCGCUGUUUUCUUCCCACUAUUUUAUAAACUCCUGUUUAUUUAUUUUUGUCUCUAAACUUUUUUAUUAUCAUAAUAAAAAAACAACUUUUGACAACGGAUCUCUUGGCUCUCGCAUCGAUGAAGAACGCAGC